rnacentral:pre_miRNA from 10 species
GGCUAGAAUACAGUAUGAUUGUGAAGUAAUAAGACUAAUUUUGACAUGUGGUUUGUGGAAUUGGUUUCAUUACUUAUAGUCACAUUUGAGGCUUUA